GAAAGGCUCCGCCCUCGACUCCUUCCCGACGCUGAAAACUGAUUGGCUGCUUGGCCUGUCGCUUGGAAGGGGCAGGCAACGGAACCUCGCCGUUUCGGCUCAGCGCGAGCCGACUGGGAUUUCUCAUUGGUGGAAACUAAGCGACGGGGGCGAAGUUGGACUCCGGCUCGCGGCUGGAUUGUCCGCCGUGGGAUUCGCGGGGCCUUCUUGAGCUCUGGCGGUGAAGACGGGGAGCGGCCAUCUUAAAAGAGAUGCAUAUCCUGACAGCCAAUCCAGAAACAUUUUGAAUAAACAAUAAAACAUAUUCCAACAGCAUAAAUAAAACUUGAAGAAGAAUUGAUUUCCAAUUUCUUGUGAGAGAAGAGUGAAGAGUAUCUGCCUUCCUUUGCUAUACCGCCGUUUUAGAAUUGAUCAAUUAAAAACAUAGACACAGGAGCAGGCUAGAUUCUUCAUGAUGGGAAAAUCAGACGAUGUUAUUAAUCAUGUCAUCCUUAUUUAUAUCCAGAUCCUCUCUUAGUUUUCGUCUUCUAGACCAGAAGAAAUAUUUCUGCUGGAAAGCUUCAUAGGGUGUAUCUUUGCAACAUCAACGUAUAGACUCUGACGUAAACAAUUAAAAUUCUAAUAG